GAAUGCUGACAUAAGUAACGAUAAAGCGGGUGAAAAGCCCGCUCGCCGGAAGACCAAGGGUUCCUGUCCAACGUUAAUCGGGGCAGGGUGAGUCGACCCCUAAGGCGAGGCCGAAAGGCGUAGUCGAUGGGAAACGGGUUAAUAUUCCCGUACUUGGUGUUACUGCGAAGGGGGGACGGAGAAGGCUAUGUUGGCCGGGCGACGGUUGUCCCGGUUUAAGCGUGUAGGUGUGUGUUCCAGGUAAAUCCGGUUCACUUUAACACUGAGGCGUGACGACGAGGCACUACGGUGCUGAAGCAACAAAUGCCCUGCUUCCAGGAAAAGCCUCUAAGCAUCAGGUAACAUCAAAUCGUACCCCAAACCGACACAGGUGGUCAGGUAGAGAAUACCAAGGCGCUUGAGAGAACUCGGGUGAAGGAACUAGGCAAAAUGGUGCCGUAACUUCGGGAGAAGGCACGCUGACACGUAGGUGAAGUGAUUUACUCAUGGAGCUGAAGUCAGUCGAAGAUACCAGCUGGCUGCAACUGUUUAUUAAAAACACAGCACUGUGCAAACACGAAAGUGGACGUAUACGGUGUGACGCCUGCCCGGUGCCGGAAGGUUAAUUGAUGGGGUCAGCGCAAGCGAAGCUCCUGAUCGAAGCCCCGGUAAACGGCGGCCGUAACUAUAACGGUCCUAAGGUAGCGAAAUUCCUUGUCGGGUAAGUUCCGACCUGCACGAAUGGCGUAAUGAUGGCCAGGCUGUCUCCACCCGAGACUCAGUGAAAUUGAACUCGCUGUGAAGAUGCAGUGUACCCGCGGCAAGACGGAAAGACCCCGUGAACCUUUACUAUAGCUUGACACUGAACAUUGAGCCUUGAUGUGUAGGAUAGGUGGGAGGCUUUGAAGUGUGGACGCCAGUCUGCAUGGAGCCGACCUUGAAAUACCACCCUUUAAUGUUUGAUGUUCUAACGUGGACCCGUUACCCGGGUUGCGGACAGUGUCUGGUGGGUAGUUUGACUGGGGCGGUCUCCUCCUAAAGAGUAACGGAGGAGCACGAAGGUUGGCUAAUCCUGGUCGGACAUCAGGAGGUUAGUGCAAUGGCAUAAGCCAGCUUGACUGCGAGCGUGACGGCGCGAGCAGGUGCGAAAGCAGGUCAUAGUGAUCCGGUGGUUCUGAAUGGAAGGGCCAUCGCUCAACGGAUAAAAGGUACUCCGGGGAUAACAGGCUGAUACCGCCCAAGAGUUCAUAUCGACGGCGGUGUUUGGCACCUCGAUGUCGGCUCAUCACAUCCUGGGGCUGAAGUAGGUCCCAAGGGUAUGGCUGUUCGCCAUUUAAAGUGGUACGCGAGCUGGGUUUAGAACGUCGUGAGACAGUUCGGUCCCUAUCUGCCGUGGGCGCUGGAGAACUGAGGGGGGCUGCUCCUAGUACGAGAGGACCGGAGUGGACGCAUCACUGGUGUUCGGGUUGUCAUGCCAAUGGCACUGCCCGGUAGCUAAAUGCGGAAGAGAUAAGUGCUGAAAGCAUCUAAGCACGAAACUUGCCCCGAGAUGAGUUCUCCCUGAGACUUAAAGUCUCCUGAAGGAACGUUGAAGACGACGACGUUGAUAGGCCGGGUGUGUAAGCGCAGCGAUGCGUUGAGCUAACCGGUACUAAUGAACCGUGAGGCUUAACCU
rnacentral:rRNA from 2 species